rnacentral:rRNA from 1 species
UGAGGAGGAGGACGACGACGGCGGUAACAAAAAUAGAAAAAGAGGCGAAAACAGCGGCGUUUCGCGGUUCAAAAGAGCGAGCGCGCGAGGGCCGAGCUGUCGCGCCGCGGCGGCGCAGCCUACGCGGUGCACGACGGCCGACCGGCGGCGCGGCAGCGGGUGGCGCCGCAGCAGAGCGCGCCCCACGCCCGCCGCCGCUACCCCAGCAGCCGCCCCCGCCCCCGCCCCCUGGGCCCGCCCUUGGGCUGCCACCCCUCCGACGCCCUCUAGAAGGCCCCGCCGCCGCUGCGCCGUCUACCGACCCUCUUCAGGACCCUCUGACCGCAUUGGGGCACCCUAGACCCCUUCGGCUGCGGAUAGUAGCUCGUAGAGCAAUUUAGUCCUUGAGAGGGAUUCCCUUCUCGCAACCAGGGCCCUACGCCGUACCCAAUACUACACCAACGAGACCGUUCGGGACUCUCUAAACAGCAACCGAAUCUCUAAAGAUUAUAUCGACGACACUUCCGAUUCGUCACCAGUAGUAGAAACGGUUUACGUCUAACCAAAUGAAAAGACCAACGACUAAAGAAGUUCACCUCUGGUUCACUUGGUAAACUGGAGUAAAAGCUAAUAUGCAAGAAAACACGUGAACUAGGUUCGUACUCCGACCGAACCCGUCUGUGUCAAUCAGCGGAAGACUUUGGUCUACCUCUCGAAUAGUGGAACUAUAUAAACUAGUCGCUAGUUCUUCCCCCCGGCGGGAUGUUAUUAUGUCAACGACUGAUAGUCUUCCACGACCUCGGCGACCCAAAGUUCCGACAAAUAUACCUUCUGUUGCUCGAUCGAUAAUUUGGCGCGUUCCCAAAGCUCUUUGAACCUUCCACCUUCUCUUCGUCGUCCGGCGUUAGAAGAAACACUCGUAUAUACUUCCGGAACGACAUAUGUCAUCAAACAUAUGUGACACAUAACACAAUCGAAGACACGAGUCAAGCACUACACGUGAAGACUUGCUACGUACGCACUACACGGUAAAUGACGAGGGCAGCCUCUACUUAGCCGGUACACUUUAAAGGCACACGAGAUUUACUCGUGGCAUACCAUACCACUCUACGACACACACAAAAUUCAUACGACAGUCGAACC